AAGAAGGGAGCCAGAGAUCCACUUCAUCCUUCCAACAGACACCAAGUGGAGAGAUCCCAGCUCAACCUUCAGCACAGCCAGAAGGGAGCCAGAGAUCCACUUCAUCCUUCCAACAGACACCAAGUGGAGAGAUC